CCGAACUGUCGACACGAGCUGUUGCUGGCCCUCAAAGUGGGGCACGUGCACGCUCUGUUUGCACAUCCACUCACACCCGUGUGCACCCUCUGUAGCUCCAUGGCCUGGGGACCCUGUCCCCUUGCUGUGGUCCUGCUUCUUUACACACACACCGUAACAAAGUCUCAUGGAAUGCAUGUCGCGUUUAACGCAAUACAAUA
rnacentral:misc_RNA from 1 species